rnacentral:rRNA from 1 species
UGCCAGCCGCAGCGGUAAGACGGAGGGCGCAAGCGUUGUUCGGAAUUACUGGGCGUAAAGCGCACGCAGGCGGUUUGCUCAGUCCCAUGUGAAAGCCCGGGGCUCAACCCCGGAAAUGCAUAGGAUACUGGCAGACUGGAGACAGGUAGGGGCUAGCGGAAUUCCUGGUGUAGCGGUGGAAUGCGUAGAUAUCAGGAAGAACACCUGUGGCGAAGGCGGCUAGCUGGGCCUGUUCUGACGCUCAUGUGCGAAAGCGUGGGGAGCAAACAGGAUUAGAUA